rnacentral:rRNA from 1 species
AACGUAGGAGGCGAGCGUUAUCCGGAUUUACUGGGUGUAAAGCGCGUGCAGGCGGUGGGACAAGUUAACUGUGAAAGCGCCCGGCUCAACCGGGCGAGGACAGUUAAGACUGUUCGACUAGAGGCAGGUAGAGGUGUGUGGAAUUCCGGGUGUAGUGGUGAAAUGCGUAGAGAUCCGGAGGAACACCAGUGGCGAAGGCGACACACUGGGCCUGGCCUGACGCUCAGACGCGAAAGCAUGGGGAGCGAACGGGAUUAGAUACCCCCGUAGUCC